CCGCGUGGAGGUAUGCCAGCCGGCGUAUGCUGAGGAGAUUCUAGAAGAACCCACCGUUUUUAUGAGGUAGCCCAGCACCAGUACAACGCAUUAGUCAGGAAAGGCAACUUAGUGAUCCCUUCAGCUCCAAUGAUGAACUUUGUGGUUAGCCCUUUUUGCUUUUCCAUUCGCACUAUUCACAUCUUCGCUUGCCUAACACUUUGAUACCGUUUCUGUUCAUAGCGUGCCCAGAUCAAGAAAGCAGCUGAUGAGACCGAGACUAUUCUGGAAACAACCCCGGCUGGCAAAAGCGAUGGGGAAGGUGCACUUCGAGCAUUCAUUAAGGUUCACAUCUCCUUCAAACUAGCACUUAACAUUUGUUGCUACGUUCCAUGUCUCAUUCAAUUGUACAUGUUGCAGCGCCAGGGCCAAAAGUUAAGGCAGCUAUCAAACCUUUUCGGCUGUCGUGACCCCGAGUAUGUAUCACCAGAACGGUCUAGGUCAGCGACACCAUCAGAUCCCGCUUCGGGGCAGGGCCAUGGUGAACCUUUGGAGGAUGAGAAUGUGGGUGUGGUCACCCAAGAGGUAUGGCAUGAAGAUAUAUAUCCAUUUGUUGAUGCAUUGCUAACUAUAUCCUCACACACGGUCUUUCCAUAUAUUCUGUUGAUGCAUAGGUUGCUGAUGAUAUGACCUUGGGGACGUACCAGGCUCGGUCUGCAUACGAGUUGAAGCCUAGGAAGGGAAUCAGAAGGUACACACCUGAAGACUUCACCCAAAGAGGCAAAAGGACGGUCGGCACCUCGCAGAUGGCGGCUUUGGAUGACUAUUUGGAUGACGAUGUGGAUGACGUGGAGGAACCGGAGCCGGAGCAGGUUCCUCUUCCUAGGAAGGUGAAGAAGAUAAGCGUCAAGAGGGGGCGAGGAGCCAGCAAGCGUGGAAAGCACUAGUCAUCGUGAACUCGGACGUGAGUUGUUUGUGGUCUUGGGACACAAUCUUGCCAUCCACCCUUUUGCCUUGGCACACAACUCACUACAUGCCAAGUUGGACCUCCUUUCCAUGGUCUUGCACGCACAAUCCACGGACAACCGCCACGGCGUCUUGCCACUCCUUGUUGGACCUCCUUUCCACGAGCUCUACCACCACCACGGCCUCUUGUAAGUCCAAGUUGGACCUCCUUUUCAUCUUCACAUGCACAUGCAACCGUGUAGCGCAAAUUGACGUCCGAGUUCACCACCUUGUGUGGACGAUAAUGCGUAACCGAGUAGUUGUCGAGCCACAUCUUCAAAUCCAACAAGCUGUCGAACUUAGAACCUUUAGCAAUCCGGUUCUUGUCGUCUACCAAAUCACGGUGAGAACUUGGCCUAACUCCAAGAGGUACACAUUGGCCACCAUCUACCACGGCUUCAUCCGCGAGACUAACAUCCUUGAACAAUGUAGUCCGAUGAUCCCGACCAAAUACCUUCUCGAAAGCUUCGGCCUCCUUCACCGUGAACCCCUCUGCAUCAACUUGUUCAUCGGGACCAUCGUCAUCCGAGUCCGAUGCAUAUGCACGGGAAAAAGGGAUGGAAUGGUCCAUUGUCUCUUGCAAAUGAUAUUUGUCGAGAUCACCCACAUUGUUGUCAUGGAGAUCAACUUCAUUGUCAUCGUCCGCAUACUCAUCAUUGUCCUCUUGCAAAGAUUCAUUUUGGUUGUUUGUACACGGGCUCAAUGUUGGCCUCACUUCUUGGGUCAAAAGAGGUUCAACAAUUUCAUCUCGCUUCAAGGGUGGGGGGCUACUAGCAACCAAAGGGGAGGGGUUCCGGUUCAAGUCCAAAUGCAAACUUGAAUCAACCUUCUUCGUUGCAAAUAACUCAAGAGCCUUGUCUAGUGAUUCGGCCACCGUCUCCUUGUAUGCAACCCAACGUUGCUCCGAGUUGACACGCAUUGUCUUCCAACGGAUGUGCAUUCCAAAACCAACAUUAUGCCUUCCCUCCAACUCAAUGAUAUCACUAGGGUCCAUCCAAUUCAAAUCUUUCCUAACUUGUUGCAAGAGCUCCGCAUAGCUAGGACUACUAUCAAACACCAUGUCAAGCUCAUCCAGGUCCGGUUCUUUAUUGCCUUUCAAAAAGGCGUCUUUGUCCCCAUGAUGAACAAACACACAUGUUCUUCCCAUCCCUAUAAGCAUUCAAAGAACACAAGGUAACAUUGCUUCCAUGAGUACUAAUCCAUGAUUAACACGGAAUACAAACCCUAAUAUAUAUAUGAAACAACAACCCUAACCCUAACCAUAACCAUAACCCUAACCAUAACCAUAACCCUAACCAUAACCCUAGCCCUAAACCUAACCCUAGCACCAACAUAAGAACACCCAUAAGAAUAACCCUAGCAUACUAACAAAGCCUAAUCAUAGAAAUUGGCUAACAAACAUCUCACAUCUCCAUGCAAAUCUCUAGAUCCAAACAAAACUAGGGUUUCCCCAAACUAGCAACAAAUGAGCAAUGGGAGAACUUUACUUGGAUCAAAACAAGGGGAUCGGAGAUUAUUACCUUGAGGGAGGGUUUGACUUCGAAAUCCACGGACAAAUUCUUCAAAUUUGCAAGAUUUGGAAGAAGAUUUGAGAGGGGGAGAGAGUGGGAGAGGGGGCAAAGCUCGGGGAGAGAGUGAGAGAGUGUGUGNNNNNNNNNNNNNNNNNNNNNNNNNNNNNNNNNNNNNNNNNNNNNNNNNNNNNNNNNNNNNNNNNNNNNNNNNNNNNNNNNNNNNNNNNNNNNNNNNNNNNNNNNNNNNNNNNCACAGUGCAGCGCCUAGCGGCUAGGCGCUGCACAUUAGCUGCACAUUACAUGUGGGGCGCCUAGCCCGGAGGUGCUGCACUGCUGGGUGCGGGCCCAGGGGCUGCCACGGUGGACAGGAGUGCAACGCCGCCGCGCUAGGCGCUGCACAGUAGGGUGUGGCGCCGGCGUGAUGGGCGCUACACAAAAAGGUCAGGGGAGUGAAAUAGUUUCGCACCCAGUUCAUUCUGUGAAAUGAUUUCGUCCCGAGGUCAAAAUUGUCAAAUUUGCCUCAAGACGCCUACUAGUUGGUGUGCCUGUAAGGGGUGACAAGACUUGACAAGGGAUGCGUUGGGGAGUGUGUAUGUGGGGGGUGACCGGAUGAGGUUGCGUGUGAGUAUCCUUUUAUAAUUCAGAGAUUUUAUGUUAAAUAUUUGAAUAUUUUAAAAUAAUAAAUGAACAAGUUUUGAGGUUGCGUAGUAAGUUAUUUCAUUUGUAAGUACAAUAUACGUUUAUAACACACGUAUAUUUGAAAGUUAUUUUUAUUUUUGGGAUUAUAAUUUAAAUACUCUCUACAGAUUUAUAUAAAAAACAAUGAGUGCAAAAUGCGCCGCACAGACUGCAGUUCAUUUCAGCUCACGCCUUUGUUCUAAUAUAUUAAGAGGUGAUUAUUCACUUUAGACAUCAACCUGUGUAGGUGGCCGUGGGUUUGAAAGAGGAAUGCUAUACGGACGAUAGUGUAUGGAUGAUUUAUGGACGACGUGUCGCCGGAGUGUUUCAUCAUGUCCGCUAUGUACAGGAUGACCUUUGGAUCAGCUGUCGUUCAAAAAUCGUCCCGUGAAUUAUCGUUCGCAAAGGAGUUCCGGGUUUGAAACCUGGUGCCCACACUAUUUCGUCUUAAUUUUUGGUUUGUAUUGACAUGCGGAACACAUCAAGAGUUGGCAUUUUUCCACAAAUAAAACAAAGUAGUUUUUUUUGUAAAAACGUGUUGGGCCGAGCACCAACUGUCACUCACAUUGGAGCGGUCCGGUUCGUUGGUUUGACCUUGUUUGAUAGCCGAUUUUUGGUUGGAUCUGCCUCUUCGGUUCUUUUUAUAUUAGUAUAGAUAUGUACAGAGUUGAUCGCUAAAAAAAUUGUGGGACCAAAGUAAACCAGCUAGAAAUCAAAUUGUCAUGUGUUAUUGGGUUGUUAAUCUUGUUGGGCCAUACAACGAUAAGAAAAACUGAGGCACAACCAUAAUCAUCAAACAAGGGGACCUCCUUUUGGGCUCUCUCUACGCCGUGGAACCAACUGGCCCUCACUAUAGUGCUCAGUUGAGCCGGCCCAUAAAACGCGAACACAGCGAACUUACAGCAUGGAAAAAACCGCAAAACAAUUAGCUUUGUCCAAGAUUCAAACUCGCACCAUUGGACUCCCAUACAAGUCUUGCUAACCACUCAGGCUACUCAAUUGCAUUGACUGAAAACAGCGCAAAAGAAUAUAAGAACUACUGUGGAUGCACUAUUUAUACUAUAUCACUAAGAUUUUGGAAUUAUUUGAAAAAAUUUAAAUUUUAAAAAUCUCAGCGGUUUUGGAAAAGUUUCAUACGUUUUGAAUAAAGUUUGUUCAAUUUUAAAGAAAUUUCAUCGAUUUUAAAAAAAUCAUUGAUUUUGAAGAAAGUUUGUUCGAUUUGAAAAAGUUCAUAUUUUUUUAAAAAAAUUGUCAACUUUGAAAAAAGUUCAUCGAUUUUAAAAAAUUGUUCAUCUAUUUUAAAAAAUUACAUCAAUUUUGAAAAAGUUCAAUAAUUUUGAAAAAAAUCAGUUUUGAAAAACUUUCAUUGUAUUUAGCAAAAGUAAAAAACUAAAAAAACUAAAAAAUGAACAAACUGUUACAAUAAAAAAUAAACAAUAAAAAAUAGAAAAGAGAAAAGAAAAAGAAGAAAAGCAGGAAAAAGAUAGAACGGAACACGUCAGGUGUAGGUGUUUUUUUUAACACAAUGCAGACGCAAGCGCUCAUAUACACACGCAUACACUCACCCCUAUGAGCGGACACACGCACACCCUACCCCUAUGAGCACCUCCGAAAGACUGAGCCGGCAUAUCAUCUUGAAAUUUAUGAAGUCACCAUAUGCACGCCGUCAUCGAUGGGAACGUCUCCUCCCACUGAAAGCGCAUCGCUGGAAAUCCUAAAAUAAAUCCAGGAUGCGAGCACCAUGACUUGAAUCCUGGUGGGCUGGGGAUACCACAGCCUCUCUAACAAUCCAACCACAUGUUGGUUCGCGUUAGGUGUAGGUGUUGGGUUGUUAGAGCCGCUUAUGUACGAGCAGGAGGUCGUUGGUUUUUUUGUUCUUGACCGGUUGAUUUUUUCAUGUUAAAAACAUAAAAACAAAGGAAGAGGGCUACGCGCCCGCUUGCUUAAAAGAAGGAACAUUUCUUUAUUCCGGGACAGGGUGUUGACUUCUGUUUUUUUUUGUUUUUCCUUCUUUUCUUCCGGUUUUCUUUAUUUCUUCAACGGGUUCCUUCGAUUUUUUGUUUUUUCUUUGUUUUCUCUAGUUUUAUUGGUCUUGACCGGUUUUCCCUUUAUUUUUUCUUUGAUUUUCUUUGUUUGUUUCUUUGGUUUUCUUCUUCAUCGGGUUUCUUCAGUUUUUCUUUCUUCCUCGUUAUAAAUUUAGGUUUCUUCAUUUUCACUGAUUUCCUUUCAUUCUUUGUUAUAUUUUUUUCUUUAUUCUUGUUCUUAUGUUCUCUUCGCAUUUCCUUUUUUGUUUAUUUUUUCUUUUGUCCAUUUUCAUCGGUUUUUAUUUUGUCAACACAUGCUAAAUCUUUUUAGUACAAAUUCAAUAUUUUUGUAUACAUUAGAAACAUUUUUUAUAUACAUGUUAAACAUUUUGGAAUACAUGAUUAACAUUUUAGAAACUUAUAUUUUUUUAUGUAUAGUACACAUUGUAAAUAAUUUGGUAUAUAUAUAAUACAUUUUUCUAGUACAUGUUCAAUAUUGUUCGAAUACAAGACUAUUAUUUUUUGAAUACAUGAUCACAUUUUCCCAUAUAUAUUUUUAAAUGAAAGUAAAUGUUUGAUUAACACUUUUCAAUACAUAUUUCACAUUUUAAAAAUGCUUGAUUCAUAUUUUUAAAUACAAGAUUAAUAUUUUUAAUACAGGUUUAACAUCUUUUUAUACACAUUAGGCAUUUUCAAAUGCUGGAUUAACAUUUUCCAAAUAUAAGAUCAACAUUUUUAGAAUACAUGGUCAACAUUUGUGUAUACACAUUUAAAUUUUUGAAAUGCUUGAUUAAUAUUUUACAAAUACAAGAUAAAGCAUUUUUUAAUACCUGAUCAAACCAUUUUUGAAUACGUAGUCAACAUUGUACUAAGAUACACCCAUUUGAGCGACAAGUAGUAUGGAUUAUAGGGAGUAAUAGAAUUGCAAUUUGAUUUCAGUGGUAAUGUGAGAAUCUUGCUGUUUAUGUGAUAGGCGGAGGAAUCGGUAGGGCAAGGUGGGGGCGCUCGCCAUACCUUGAUUUUCUGUGAAUUUUUUACAUACUAUAAAUUCGUACGUGCAAUGCACAUUGAUAUUAGCCAGUAUAUUAAUUGCAUCUAGAUAUUACGAACGAUUUUAUUUGUGUUGAUUAGUGAUUAGAGUUAGAAUGGAUAUUUUGUAUGAUAUUAAUUGCACGAUAAAUGUCUUGGGUGCUCACCAUUGAAGCGGUCUGGUUCGUUCGAUAGACCUUGUGUAAUGGCUGGUUUUUGGUUGGAUCUGCACCUUUGGAUUUUCUUAUAUUGGUAUAGAUAUGUAUAGAGUUGACCAUUAAAGAAAUCGUGGGACUAAAGUAAACCAGCUAGAAAUCAAAUUGUCAUGUGUUAUUGGGUCGUCAAUCUUGUUGGGUCAUCGAUACGAUAGACGAACUGAGGCCUAACCAUAAUCAUCGAUGUUUGCCCCGCUAAUUGAUGAAAUUCUUCUUAUGAAACCGAAGCUUCCUGAGAAGAUUGCUAUGGAUAUCACUAUAUUGGGGUGUUAGGGCAUUUGAAUGUAGAGAAAUGGGAAAGUUGUAAGAAACGAGGUUCCUAGCAUUUUAUCUUGGAAAUACAAUUCAAAGCUUGACCUCCUCCUAGGUAGGCACAAGACAAAAACCAACAAUAUAUUGACAACCUUGAUCAAUGGAUUGCUUCCACGAUCUGAUUUGAUUUUUCUAAUGUUAGAGAGAACUGGAGUGGGAAAAUUUUGUUUUUCAUUUAUGUAAAUUUGUAAAUAACUCUUAUAUUUAUAUUAAUAAAAAAACCAUAGAACUAUACUGUCACUGGUUAAAAAAUAAAUUAUCCUUUGUCAAGAUGCUAGUUUUUAGCGUCAACCACAAUUAUGUUUUGAUCUUGAGGGGUGGUUUUAUUUUCCAGAUGAAUCUAGACCCUACCAUGUAAAGAUCUUACCCUCAAAAAAAAAAAAAGAGGUGUUAAAAAAAGUAGCAACGUGCUCGCCGGACCGAAAGCUGAACGACCCGAAACAACCGCAUAUGGGUAUGCAUGCGACGAACCAUUGAUCUCCCCAAUGGGGAUACAUCGGAGAUUGCAACAGACGCAUGCAACGGAGCGCCCGCAGUAAACUCCCUGCAAUCGUGCGCAUGGCGCAUCGAUCGGACUGCAUGCCUAAUUUAAUCACCACUGGCUCUUCUUCUUCCACCUCUAGUCCCCUACAUAUACCUCACCACUGCUGUUCAUCUACAGGACCCGAUCGUUCGUAGCUGCCUCAGAUCUGAAUAUCUCAUCCUCCACUGAAAGCCAGAGGAGUCGGGAAGCCUAGUGCCGGGAGAGUUGCUAGCAAAUCAAAUCAAUCGAUGGGUGCCAUGGACCGGGUACGCGCCGCCGCUACCAAGUUCGCAUCGGCCUGCGACAAGGCCUGCAAAGACGCAGUAGCCGCUACGGCCGAGUUCUUCGAGAGCGCUGUGGAAGCCACUCGCGUUGCAGCCGCCGGGGCCUCGGAUGCGAUAGCCAGAGCCGCGGAUGCCUCAGCGAGCUACGUCUCCGGCAUGUUCCAAGCAGCUUCUUCGGCCGCCAGCACGGCCUUUGACGCCGUGAAGCGAGCCACCGAGGCCGCCAGUCGACGCCUGGUGCGAUUCCUGAAGCGCCUCUUUAACAGCAAGAAGGCUAAGCGCUGGCUCCUGCUGGCUGCUGGUGCCGUGGUGGCCAUUGCAGCGGUCGCCGCCGUGGUGUACCUUGGUUGGUGCUUCUUCCCGGCGGCCGGCGCCUUCGCUGCCGGUGCUGGUGCCAUGAUGAUGGCGCCGGGCGGCCUCAUGGUCCUCCUCCAAGCAUUCGCUGCUGGCGCCAUGCCCGUGAUGAUGAUGGCGCCGGGUGGCGGCGGCUGGAUGAUUCUCCGUGCACUGUUCGCAUGGAGCCCGUGGCUGUACUUCUUUAUCCUCCGUACUGCUGGCCCGGCCACGGCAGCCUUCGUCUUUGGCUACGGCGUGCCAAUUGUGAGCGCGAUAAUUUGCGUUCUCUGCUUUCUUUCAUUGCUCGUGCUUUGGCAUUAUUGGCCUGCAUGUUAGUUAUUUCUGAACUUCUAAUUAUGAAUCUGUUUGCUCGUUGAAUUUGGAGAGCCUAUGCCCCACUAUCGUUUUAUUUUCCUGUUAGCAUUUCGUUCUGUUCCGUGCCAAUUUCAGGCUGGUUAAUUCUCCCGUGUGAUGUAGUAUGAUGACCGUGAGGAGGCGUCUGAGCAUUUGAGGAAAUCAUUCCCUGAGCCAAGCACGCAGACAGUAUAGUUUUUUUUGAGAGUUAAUGCCACCGCUUUAUUUAAACCUUCACAAAG
rnacentral:lncRNA from 1 species